rnacentral:rRNA from 1 species
AUUGAACGCUGGCGGCAGGCCUAACACAUGCAAGUCGAACGAGUGGCGGACGGGUGAGUAAUGUCUGGGAAACUGCCCGCUGGUGGGGGAUAACUACUGGAAACGGUAGCUAAUCCCGCAUACCAUCGGAUGUGCCCAGAUGGGAUUAGCUAGUAGGUGGGGUAAAGGCUCACCUAGGCGACGAUCCCUAGCUGGUCUGAGAGGAUGACCAGGCACACUGGAACUGAGGCACGGGCCAGACGCCUACGGGAGGCAGCAGUGGGGAAUGUGGCACAAUGGGCGCAAGCCUGAUACAGCCAUGCCGCGGGUAUGAAGAAGGCCUUCGGGUUGUAAAGUACUUUCAGCGGGGAGGCGUUACCCGCAGAAGAAGCACCGGCUAACUCCGUGCCAGCAGCCGCGGUAAUAC